rnacentral:misc_RNA from 1 species
ACCUUCAAGGAUGAGAUCUAUAGCCUCCAACAAGCUCGCGUUCGGCUCCAAGUGCCUAACAAGGCCAGGAACCUUGGGAAGGAGAACAGAGACGGGCUCCCCCAGAGGUCUACCUGGAUUUUUCAGAUUCUCUUCUUUACACAAGAAGCAAAUGACAUCCACCAUGCAAACCUUACCAAUGCAACGGCAUUCAUUUACAUCAAGCUUAGAUCUUGAAGCGUUACGGUAAUGAUCACAGCUCCAUACACUCAAAUACGGGUCACUGGAUCUCCUGAGAGCCGACAGCGCCUCACCGACGGUUGCAGAGACGGAGAGAGA